UUUAGUAUCCAGAGUAUUCAAAACUUCUUUGUCCACACGUUUCGCAGUUCUUUCACACUUCUUUAAUCUGACUUAUGUCUGCCAACAUUUGUCAAGCAACCAGAGGACAUGUCUGCAUGACUUUCCGCAAGAGUCUGUUUCUUAGACCAUGCACAAGUGAGGAGCACUGCUUUCCACCAAUGUUCAUGACGACCUUCUGAAUGACUUCAAAGGUGUACUUAAGUUCCUUUGGAUAGUCUAUGUUGAGGGCAAAAAGAAGACCCAUCAGCAUGGAAAUGGCACUCAGGACAUCCCUCAGAUUAGACAGGAUUACUGCCGCAUAAAGGACAACCAACACAUCGAUGAUGCCUUUUUUUUUCACCAUCACAAUGCCAACUUUCAACUCUUAGUAAACGUGUCUUCAAUAUCUGUGGGUUAUAAAAGGACCAUGUUCAUAAUUAACAGAGCAUGUCUUCAUUUGCAGAAUGCAAACAAAAAUUUAAAUUUAAAUUUACCUGUGCUAAAUAUUGGCUGUGCUCGGAGUCAAAUGUAACUGAGAAUACAUGAAAUGUGCAAACUGAAGCUAAACUGCAGGAUCAGAAUGUGGCUCCACAGACAAUGCUUCUUUAAUCAGUAACAGAUUUUUUUUCCUCUUAUAUUAACAGCAUGAAAAAAGAGCAGGUUGGCUGGACAGGUUGCAUAACUGGCACUGAAUAUCAACAUCCACCUUUACCCAGCUGUCCAAUGACUCUGGGCCAGUGACCUUUAACUGCUUACCCAGUCUACACAAUCUCUUUUCCAGGGUCCAGGACAUUUCACCAAAGUAUUGCCCCCGACAGCUGUAGUAGCCACUGCAACCCCUUAAAUAACCUAAUAUCUCAGCCAUUACAAUAUACAAUGUGAGAAAUCAAACGCAAAGCUGUAGUGAACAGUACAGCAGCGAAAUGUCAAAGACCCUGGUGAAGACAUGAGUAAACACAAGAAACUAACAUUAAUGCUAGUUUGCCAGUUAGUAUCUCUGAAACCCAGACCAAAUCCAGUGUCACAGAUCUCAUAAUAAUACAUUUGGUAAGGAAAGAGUAUAGAUUUUAUCUUGUGGCAUCCACAGGGAGUAGGGUGUUAACCCUUUGAGUUAAAGCCUAAAGUCUGCACUUCAAUCACAUCUUGAUUGUUUGAUUUAAAUCCACUCUGGUGGUGUAAUUAUUGAAUUAACUAAAAGAAACGAUGCUAACCUUCACAGUCUUGAAAGUGUGUGAGGGAUCUUCCUUAAGAAAAUGAGGUCCUCUGUCCUCUUCCUUUGUGUAGAGCUCUGGUCAAAGAAGUCAAAAAGAAAACAAUAAAACUUUUUAAACAGUAUUUAUGAAGCAUGUAGACAGCUACAAAUUCACAGCUUUUUGCUAAAUAAUUCCAUCAAUAUAUGAUUAUCAUUGGAGAUAACUGGGUCAAUUACACCUGUCUUGUUUGUUUUAAUAUUUUUGAUAUCUUUUAAUUUGAGUCAGGCUGAUCAGCACAUUCAAGCAGAAUAUGAUACCCAACCUAUCACCAAUAUACACCGAUUCUGUAAAAGUUAACACACUAAGUGUCCAGUUGUGAAAUAUGAUGACAGACUUUACUUAUCAGCUUUCUUUGAAAGAGUUCAUCAGUUGAACUGGAUAACCUAAAACUUAAACAAAGGAGAACAUUUAGCUGUUGAACACUUACAUCAUCAUCGAAGCAUUUUAUGAGCCUAUAGCCCUGCUAUGCCGCUCUUGGUUUUGUACAGUUCCAUGAACCUCUCCAUAUUGGUCAAGCACAGCAAAGUGGGACCCUUUCAGGUCAACAGAUGUGAGAUUCUGCUUCAGCCUGAGCAAUGGAAGAAGAGGGGUGGGGAGUACAGGCAGAAUUUUUAAAAAAUGCUUUGAGAUCUAAAUUUAAGCAAACUGUCAUCUGAGGCCCAUUAGAGAAAACACACACACACAUAAGCAAACAAACAAAAAGAUGCACGUUAUCUGCUGUUCAGCGAACAAGCAUGUUCAGAGAACAACAAGCUCUGUCUUGAAAUCUUUUAAAGUAGAAUGAGUGUGAAAACGACUCUUAUGUGACAAACCUUCAGUUAUGGAUUUUAUUACAACCACAAGACCCUAAAAAGUCUGCUCCAUUGCUUUUGUUAAUGAAUCAUUUGUUGGUAGCGUUUCUGAAUAUUUAGUUUAUGCCACCUGCAUGUGAUCAUCGAUAGCGCAAUAUUACUUACAAUAUAAUCUGUGGUGUUUCCCGUAUGAAAAAAUACACAAAAGGUAACUUACCAUUUGACUCCAUUGACAAAAAUAAAUGCCCAGCAUCAAGUUUGGCUUCACAGACCUAAAAUAAA